CAAGAAUGGAACUAAGCUUUUUGUUUGAACCCUUUUUCAUAUUCUUCUUCUUCUUCAUCUCCCCUUCUCUUUGUUGCCCUCCAUAUCAGAAAGAAGCCCUCCACCAUUUCAAAUUUCUAUUACUCGGAAACACUUCCUCCAUUUCUAACAUGGACCUUUAUGGGUUAGAGACGUGGAACUCCACUUCUGAUGACUGCUGUCAAUGGGAAAAAGUCCUCUCUGCUUCGCAAAAGGUGACUGCUCUUAACUUUUAUGAACUCAUUCCCUCGCUAGACUUGAAAACAAUAGUGAC
rnacentral:misc_RNA from 1 species